UCCGUGAUUGACGCUGAGGCACGAAAGUGUGGGGAUCAAACAGGAUUAGAUACCCUGGUAGUCCACACUGUAAACGAUGAUGACUCGCUGUCGGCGAUAUACAGUCGGUGGCCAAGCGAAAGCGAUAAGUCAUCCACCUGGGGAGUACGACCGCAAGGUUGAAACUCAAAGGAAUUGACGGGGGCCCGCACAAGCGGAGGAACAUGUGGUUUAAUUCGAUGAUACGCGAGGAACCUUACCCGGGCUCGAACGGCAAGUGAACGAUGUAGAGAUACAGAGGUCCUUCGGGACACUUGUCGAGGUGCUGCAUGGUUGUCGUCAGCUCGUGCCGUGAGGUGUCGGCUUAAGUGCCAUAACGAGCGCAACCCUUGCCGUCAGUUACCAGCGCGUAGUGGUGGGGACUCUGGCGGGACUGCCACCGUAAGGUGAGAGGAAGGGGGGGAUGACGUCAAAUCAGCACGGCCCUUACGUCCGGGGCGACACACGUGUUACAAUGGUGGGUACAGAGGGCAGCUACCUGGCGACAGGAUGCAAAUCUCGAAAACCCAUCUCAGUUCGGAUCGGAGUCUGCAACUCGACUCCGUGAAGUUGGAUUCGCUA
rnacentral:rRNA from 1 species